UACGGAGGGUGCAAGCGUUAUCCGGAUUCACUGGGUUUAAAGGGUGCGUAGGUGGGCAAGUAAGUCAGUGGUGAAAUCUCCGGGCUUAACCCGGAAACUGCCAUUGAUACUAUGUGUCUUGAAUACUGUGGAGGUCAGCGGAAUAUGUCAUGUAGCGGUGAAAUGCUUAGAUAUGACAUAGAACACCAAUUGCGAAGGCAGCUGGCUACACAAAUAUUGACACUGAGGCACGAAAGCGUGGGGAUCAAACAGG
rnacentral:rRNA from 1 species